GAACUGGACGCUCGGAAACCCUCCGAGUCACGAAUUCAUCAGGUUUUUCUCGGGCUCUCUCUCUCGCUUUUUUUUUUUAGCUGCACUGGCUUUUUUCUGUAUCUGCCUGAUUUUGCAUCACCUCCUUCCACCGUAACCCGCCGCCGGGCUUCGGCACCCCAAUUCUCCCCUGGACCUACCAGCUGCCUCCUCUCUUUCGCACAUCUGGCAGGAGGUUCUGGUACCAUCUUGAGCCGCUGGCAGUGCACGAGGGCGCCUCUUCAGUGAGGGAAACCUGUGCCCCUGUAACACCCUGGGCUCCCUUCUCAUCUCUGCUCAAGUGGUUUUGAAGAGUGUCUCCAGAGGGGUUGGUAAAGACGUGAGGAAUGAGGUCUUGAAAAAAUACCCGUUGGUGGGAUAAUAAAGCAAACUCGGGCGAUCUGAAUUAGCGUGUUGGGUAUUAUCUCGCCCAGUCAAGAAAGUCUGUGAAGUCUGAGUGUCAGUCAGAGCCUCCAAAGCUGUAACUUGAAAGGAAAGUAUAAGCUUUUUACAGAAUAGUUGUGAAAUAGUGAUUGUGAGCUUUCACCCGUUUCAAAGCCAUUUAAGAUUGCAGUUCCUCCCUGUUCCGAGGAAUUAGACAUCCUUAGCUACGGUUUAUAGGCAAGGAAAUUAAGGAUGGCUAAUUGUGCGUUUUCCUGAGCUGGACAAGUGGCACUAUAAAUAUGCUUGGACAAUGUGUAUGUGUGAAAUGGAACUGCUGUUCCUCUCACUUGCUUGUGAUCACCUGGAAGUGGACUUAGGUCUUCAUUGGAUCUGCCAAGCAUAGUUCGAAUUUGUUCAUAAGUGAGGAAGUAUUAUUGAUCAAACUCAAAGGGAACUGAUUGUAGGAGAGCCUCUACCUCGCUAUCUUGGAUAAUCCUGAGACGCAAUGAAGUAUGUGUUUUUAGGUUUUGGUUUUUGGCUAAAAUUAGCUUUUCUCUUAAAAGUCUUGCUUUUAAAACCAAAACAGUUGUUACCCUUUGCCUGAAAAGAUUUUCAGUGAUCUGGAGCAGAAGAAAUAAUUCUAAGUUCAUUGACAGAAAGACAAAAUGUUCCACUAUGAAGUUAAUCCUCUCCCAAUUUGAAGGCGUCCCAGGUUAAGGGUGUCACAGAAAUCUCUGGUGUUUGCCAUUUUCAGGGUUUUUAGCAAAUUUGACGAUAAACUUUGCCUACUGCAUUCUUCCCUUAUUUUCUGGUAGUGCUUCUUCCUUGACUCCCAGGUGUCUCGUUCCCUCCCGUUGCUCUCUGUCAAAAACCUUUCACUGUAGCACCUCAUUCAGGAGCAUUUUCCAAAAUGACCUUCUCGUCCUUUCCUGCCACGUCCCAUCACAACCCCUAACCCCAGCCCAUCUAGUCAAAACUUAGUUUCCCACAGUGAAUUUGGUACUCCUAGGAAGAAAACAAGUUGGUCCUCAUUAAACAAGUUGCAUGAAAGUGUGGCUAGUUAAUGUAUAAAGACUUUAUCAGGGUUUAAAUGAAUUUAAAACCAAGGAUUUGUUAAUACAAAUAAAUUGGUAGCAUGAGUGUUGUUGCUUCACAAAUGCCUGUUGCCUGAGAGAGGUUUCUGAAGCAGAAUGUGGAGUUGAGGUCUGUAAGGAGCUGCUCUGACUGGGAAGCAUCUUUAAAAGUUACAGCUACCUUUAAUUUGCUGGCACCUGACAGUGUUUACUUAAGUUUACUACUAUACUAUGUUUAGAAUCUCACUCAGGACCCCUUUUUGUACUCUGGGUCUUUUAAAACAUUGUUGUGAUUGGUCUUUAUCUCUGGUAUUUCCUGGUAGCUUGCCUGCUGUGUAUCCAGAACACCCUCUUGUUACGUUCUGAUCACACUCUAAGUAGGUGGAGAGAGAGAGAGCAAAAUGAGGGUGUAACUCUUGAGACUGAGAAGAACCGUUGGGUAUGCCAUAGGAAGGAAGCCAUUUAUGGAGAGAACUCAUAACUGAGGAGGGUACAGAAUGGCUGAGAGAGUGGUAAGGCUGCAGAGGUUAGGGUAGUCUGGCAUUGGAGUUCACAGAAUUGUUUGUUUUGGGAAAAGAAAUUCCUUGGAAGGUAGUUUGAGGUUUAAAAUGAAAGUUAGAGUUCACAUUCCAGUAGUGUCAUAUUGAAUGAAUACGAAUGUUGACCUUUCACUUAGGAAUGCUGAAGAGUUAAAUGCUCAGACUUAAAUGCUUGGGAAGGAGAGGAGAAUCAAGUCAGAAAUCAAAUCUGAAAUAUUUUGUUUUUCUUUCAUUUUUUGUUUUGAAUAAUGUACAACAUUAACUGGGGUAUUUUAUACAUUUUGAGGUUAGAAGACUAUAUGAAACCAAAAAAUCAAACCCGUUGCUGUCGAGUCGGUUUUGAUUCAUAGCAACCCUAUAGGACAGAGUAGAACUGCCCCAUAGGGUUUCCAAGGAGCAGCUGGUGGAUUUGAACUGCCGACCUUUUGAUUCGGAGCUGAGCUUUCAACCACUGCACCACCAGGGCUCCAGAGCACUAGAUAGGAGUACCAAAAAAAAUCUUCAGAAUUCAGAUUCCAGAGAAGGCAUGAUGACCAAAGCAGAGAUCUUCCAGCUUAGAUUGCUUCUGAUUACUGAACUGUUACUAUGUCAAGGAUAACAACAGAGAUGUCAGGUCUUCCCUUCCAAUAGCUUGUAUUUUCAUUAGCCUCAGCCUCAUCUGUAAAUGAGUGAUUUGGGAGAAUAUCUGAGUCAACAAGAGUGUAUUCUGACAGGAUUAGAAAAUAACUGGUUCCAUUAACUUUUUGGUUUGUCUCAUAAUGUGGGAGACAAGGGGAGGGUGAAGGAACCCUGGAAAUGGGUGUGAGCUCCAAGCCCACCCCAUUCUAUCAAGUGUAUACCCUGCUGAGAUCCUUUCCAGUUUUUAACAUUCUAUGAUUCUAGGUGACCUCUGAAUUGGGAAUAUUGAUUCAGAGCAAUCCACAAGCUGAUUUCUCUGUUGAGAUCUCUGUUGGGCCUGCUUUUAUAGUCAGUAGUCUGAGUCAGGAAACCCUGGUGGUGUAGUGGUUAAGUGCUACAGCUGCUAACCAAAAGGUCAGCAGUUUGAAUCCAUCAGCCCCUGGUUGGAAACCCUAUGGGGCAGUUCUGCUCUGUCCUAUAGGGUCACUAAGAGUUGUCGACUCAGCGACAGUGGGUUUGGUUUCUUUGGUUAGUCUGAGUGAGAAGCUCUGGUGGCACAGUGGUUAAGAGCUACUGCUGCUAUCCAAAAGGUCAGCAGUUUGAAUCCAUCAGCUGCUGCUUGGAACCCCUAUGGGGCAGUUCUGCUCUGUCCUGUAGGGUUGCUAUGUGUCAGAAUCGACUCAAUGGCAAUGGGUUUAGUCUGAGUUAACCAUGUUAAAAUUCUAGAAGCUAUUAUCAGAUCUGUGUUUUCACUAAUGAAAAAAAAAAAAGGUGUUUAUCUCCCUCACCAAAAAAUAAAUAAAAACUGGAAAAGUGAUUAAGCAUACACAGCAGUUCUGAUUCAAAGGUUAGAAUUUAAGUAAAAAAAAAAAAAAAAAAAAA